UUUUUUUUUUUGGCUGUGGCAGGCAGCAGCUUGAUGUGGGAGCUCAGCUCCCAGACCAGGGAUUGACCUUGGGUUGCAGCAGUGAAAGAGUCAAGUCCUAACCACUAGACCACAAGGGAACUCCCAAAAAAUUGAUUUUAGAGAGGCCAUGUAGGAAACGAUUUCCAAGGUUCCGGCAAGAGAUAUUGGCAUCUUGAGUUAAUGUGACAGUGCAAAUGAAGAAGUAAAUGUGUAUGCAACAUGUUUUUGGAGAAGAAAGCCAAGAAGGAGUAGCAAUGGCCAUGGAAAUGCUGAUCAAGGAGGUAAAGUCUUCAGUGACCGAGUGAUCAAGUCAGGAAAAAACCGCUUCGGAAAGGUUUAGUGGGUGGUGUAGCGGAACGUAAAAAGAGCUUAGGGUUUUGAGUGAGAAGGAAAAGAAAUCCUUUUAAUGUGACCAUGAGAAGCAAGGCAGAUGCUUGCUAGCUCUCAUGGAGUUAGAGGGGGGAAAAAAAGAGAAAAAAGCCUCCCCCGGAGAGGGUUCCAGGAGAAGUUGUGUUAGAAGGGGACAGACCAGCUUUCGGUUAAGGCGUGGAAAUGAGAAGGACGCUCCUGUACAAACAGAGUCUGCUGACCAGAGAUUGGGAGUCCCAGAGGACAGGGUGAGAGCAUUUAGAGGAAGAGGAGAGGAGGCGAGGGGUUUGAGAUCCACAGCGUGACAUGAGAGUGAGUGGCCUCAGAAUAAUAAUGGUUGCCGCUAAAGCCUGGGACUUCUGCAGGGAGUGCAAAUAACCUGGAACCCGAGGCACGACAAGAUAUAUCUUGAGAGGCUCAUGAGAAGGAGGACAAUAGAUACAAGCUAUGACCCUGAACAAGCGGCUUGAUGGCAUGAAGGUCUCUAGGUGACUUUUCCCUCCUGCAACGCAUGCAAUGGGUUGGUCUGGGUGAUGGGGUCACUGGGUGCCACCCCUCCAUCCUACAAGGACAAUGACUCAUGUGGCUAGGGUCCAGAGGAAUACUCUCUCAGAGAGCUGGACAUAGAGUUUCUGUAGCUGCCAUGUUCGUAUUAGAUCCCAUGUCUCUAGACAUAAUUCCUUGGAACACGGGUGGGCACCUGCCCCAACCUGGACCAGUUAGAGUCUUUUCCUAGAAUCUUCCGCUUAGGACAGGGAGCCCUUCACUGGGGAUGGAAGUCAUUAGAUAUAAAACAUGGUCUCUGCAGACAGCUAGUUUUCCAGUCAUGCAGACAGAGCCAGUCUAAACAAGAAUAAUCAACUGUUUCUUGAAUAUCAUGGGCCAAUUAAUUUUACCUUUUGGUCUAAGAUAAAGUCAGGUUUCUGUGCCUCAAAACCCAGAAUACUAACUUGAAACCAAAGACUAAUAGCUAUGCACAAAUUCUGUCACCACCUUCUAUUGACCAUAGCAAGACGUAGUGUAACAGCUCCUUAAAAUUAGCUAGUAAAUUUUCUCCACAUCAGCAUGAGGGAGCCAUAAAAGUGGGAAAUACUAAUGCUACAUGCAUUAGGGUUCUCCAAAGAAACAGACCUGAUAGAGGGUGUGUGUGUGUGUGUGUGUGUGUGUGUGUGUGUGUGUGUGUAUUUAGAGAGAGUUUAAGGGACUGGCUCACACAUGGUACAGACUGGUAAGUUCACAUGUCUGCAGUCAGCAAACUGACACCCAGUACAGACAACAGUGUGGUUCCACUCCAGUGCCCUGCAGCCUGGGCACCCAGGAAGAGUUAGUGUUUCAUUAUGAAUGCAAAGGCAGGGAAAAACUGAUGACUCCACUCAAAGACCAUCAGGCAAAAGGAAUUCACUCUUAUUCAGCCCAUGUGUUCUACUCAGGCCUUCAACUGAUUGGACGAGGCCCAUCCAUGUUAGGGAGAGGCAUCUGCUUUCUCUACCAAUUCAAAUGUUAAUCUCUGGAGACAUCUUCACAGACACGCCCAAAAUAACAUCCAGCCAAAUAACUGCUCACCCCACGGCUCAGUCCAGUUGACAUACAACAUGAGCUAUCCCACUACACAAUCUUUCACAGCUGCCUUCCAAUGUAUGUCUGCCUUUCAUUGUAUUGAGGGCUGCAGGAUGUAUUACUACUGUUAUUGAGUAGGCCCAGAUGCCAGGAUCGUGUGCUUGUGGUGGUGACCUUGGACUAGCUCUCGGGUUAGGUGAAAUCCUGAUGAAGGAACAGCAGAGGUAGGGAAAUCAUGCAAAGGACAAGAAAGGAAACCCCUGAGCUGACUUUCCUCCCUUCGCUGAGUGAGCAGACUAUUUUAAGCAAGAGGAGUUGAAAACAUCUGGAAAACUCUAUAAAGUAGUUUGUGAAAGUCCAUAAAGCAGAAUGAGCUUUAGGAAGGUUAACUGAAAGAGACUGUCCUCCAGGAAAGCCAAGUUGGUGGGGUGAAAGUUUCAUAAUCUGGGCAGAAUACAAAAACAUCACCAGUGUGACGCUUGCAACGGUAUCAAGGAGAGCAGGAAUCUGAUUCCAAGGCAAAAAUCAGAGCUUAGAAAGAAGUCCCUCAGUUUACUCAUCUGAAGAAUGGACAUAAAAAUACUGUGUCGUGCAGGGGAUUGCUAGUUUAUUCUCUGGGGGCUGUCACACUAUGUCACGCUAGGGUCAAUGGAGGAAGACUGCAGAAUUUGGGUACUUGCUCUGAUUCUUGCAAGGGACCAUUAGAAACCACCUGCCACAUUGUAAGGGUUCCUUACCUUCAACACUGCCUGCCGCCCUUGCACCCAGGGGCUGGGGCAACACAGAAGACGUGAAGGGCAAGAGCUAUGAGAUCAAAGACCGGGGCGGAAGCCUCAGGGGCCAAGCCUUUAAGGGAGACUUUUCUGAAAUGGCUGGCAUAGUAGCAGCCGUGAGAUUCCCCAGCACAGGCAUGCCUUUGCAUAUUGGGCUUAGGGGGCUUCCUUGGGCCCAAUGUGUUACUAUCUUUCUUCUAACGCUCAUCAUUCUUUCACAGCAAUGGUCUCUUCUGUUCGUGGAGCAUCUCUGGGCAGAUGACAGAGGGGGAACCCUGGUUUUCAUGGUCCUGAGUCUUCGAGAAGUUCAGGGACUCCUUUGCCUCAGAUAAAUCACCGAAGGCCAAGUCAAGGCUCAAGCCCGGAUCUCAGCCCUCACAUGCCAUGCUACACUGUCUCCAUGAAGUCACAGCACACUGCUUUGCCCUGACUGGGCUUUUUGGACACAGUAAAUAUGAAAUAAAGUUGCAGCGCCUCAAUUGGCUCAUGCGUUUUUGAGCACUUACUAGAAACAGGGAUGCAAAUGAAGGGCUGAUGCACCAACUCUCACUCCAAAACAGCCCUUGAAUUCGUCCUCCUCUGCAGCCUCUGCCCCUGCCUCUACUCAGCCUCCACUUUUCAUGUUGCCAAAGCCACCUGUUCUCCCUGUCUGCAGCUGCUCCAUCCUUCCUACUGUUACCAUCCUUUGUGCCUCUGUCUUCAAUGAAAACCCCAAUGGCACCCAAAUCAUGUUGGCAGAGUUCUUCCAUCGCGGUUACACAGUAGAAUUCCCAGGGCAUUAAAUGUCAGGCCCUGUCCCAGAUAUUCUGACCUUAACUGGCCUGGGGUGGGACCAUUGUUCUAUUUGUUUUAAUCUCCAGGCUACAGUCAAGGGCUGCCAAGGCUGAAAAUCUUUUGGAUUACCAAGUAAAGCCAGAUCUCCUGAGCAUGACAUCUGAAGCCCUUCACACUGAGCAGUAAUCAAUAUUUCUUGCCUCUCCCCGUGUACAUUUGUUAUUACAAUGUUAUGAAAAUAUCUGUCAUCUCUGUUCAACUGUGAGUUUCUCAAGGACAAAACCCCUGUCAUUCAUCUCUGUAUCCCUCAUAGUCAUCAUAACACCUACAAAGAGUAAGUGCUUAAUGAAUGUUGGUUGGGUGGGUGGAUGGUAAGUGGUUGGCGGGAGUGGGGACCAGUGACUAGUAGUAAAAUUCUGAACUAACCUGCUCAGGGACCUGCACUCCCAGAGCUGAAUGACCAGGACAAAGAAGGAAGUCUCUUACAUCAAUGUGUCUCUAUUUGCUCCAGAAAAUUCUUGCCAAGGAAAAUAAAGGCGUAAAGGGUAUAAACCCUUGGUCCACUAAUCCCAAAUAUUGAACUUGAACUUUGCCUGAUCCCAAUCAGAUCCCCGUGUUGAAAUUCCAUCUACCUUCAGCCGGAUUUUCAAAUCCUAACCUCUCUCCUCUUAGACCCUAGACAUUAUCAAUUGGGUAUUCUUCCUAUUUUAGUUAAGCAAUACACUCAACUUUGUUUGAUCAAUAGGUUAUUUUAGUGGCCUUUCAGGGCAUCAAAAAUCAACACCUCCAUUCUUUUCUUAUCUCACAGUGUGGUUUUGGGUAAGUCAGAUAUGUUGUCAAAUAUCUCUGGAUAUAAAAUGAAUCCGAGAAUUCUUAUCACUUGCCUUCCUUGCAAAGUCGUUAGAGAAUGAAAUAUGCUACAAUUUUCUGCAACGCUUUCCAUCCAAGGAUCUCAAAGCACUUUAUUUCUGCCAGAUGCAAAUACAUUACAUGAUUAAUAGUCUGCUUCUGAAAGUCACAGGAAAAAGGAUUUCAUGGCUCCAAG
rnacentral:lncRNA from 1 species